rnacentral:rRNA from 1 species
GACGAACGCUGGCGGCGUGCUUAACACAUGCAAGUCGAGCGGAAAGGCCCCUUCGGGGGUACUCGAGCGGCGAACGGGUGAGUAACACGUGAGCAACCUGCCCCUGACUCUGGGAUAAGCCCGGGAAACUGGGUCUAAUACCGGAUACGACCGCCGAUCGCAUGGUCUGGUGGUGGAAAGUUUUUCGGUUGGGGAUGGGCUCGCGGCCUAUCAGCUAGUUGGCGAGGUAACGGCUCACCAAGGCAAGACGGGUAGCUGGUCUGAGGAGGAUGAUCAGCCACACUGGAACUGAGACACGGUCCAGACACCUACGGGUGCAGCAGUUUCGAAUC